GGAACAUCGAUUUGUAUAUACUCUAAGGCGUUGCAGUUUGGGAGUAUACAAUAAAUAUUUGUGUUUUCCAACACUUUUCCUAUGUACAGCGAAUCUAUCAACAGCAAAAGGUGGUAUUGUUUCCUUAUGAAAUAUUUUCAUAAGAGUAUUUGUAGAUCAGAGAGCAUCUCGAAUUCUGUAGCCUGCGUAUGCAAAGAUUCAGGCAGUAGGGCGCGGCUGCGCUAACCGGGCGGUCAGUCGAGUUUUAAUUUUAUGACGCAGCAAAGGAGAGAGAAGCCUGGGACAAAGUAGGCGACGGCGACGACGACGACGGAGCCGAUGAUGAUGGCGCCAAGAAAUUAACGAAACGCGCCAUAAUAAACACAAGAAGAGGAACGACGCCGAGCGUCGAACGCCGAGUGGAGGCUGUAGGAUCGUUGCUGUAGAUCGCAGAUGCACAGC